GACGAACGCUGGCGGCGUGCCUAAUACAUGCAAGUAGAACGCACUUGCGAAUGGGUGAGUAACGCGUAGCUAACUUGCCUUAUAGCGUGGGGUAACUAUUGGAAACGUUAGCUAAUACCGCAUACUGUGAUAGGGACCUCCUGUGUGUUAGCUAGUUGGUGAGGUAAACGCCCACCAAGGCGACGAUACAGAGCCGGGCUGAGAGGGUGAACGGGCACACUUGGAAUGAGAAACGGGCCAGAGUCCUACGGGAGGAGGCAGUAGGGAAAUUUCGGCAAUGGGCGGAAGUCUGACCGAGCAACGCCGCGGGAGUGAAGAAGGGUUUCGGAUCGUAAAGCUCUGUUGUUAGGGAAGCGGUAACUAACCAGAAAGGGACGGCUAACUACGUGCCAGCAGCCGCGGUAAUUC
rnacentral:rRNA from 1 species